CAUUUUUCUCCCUGACGUAUCAAGCUGAUGAAAGUGCACCACAUUUUUAGUCAUUCAACUCUUAUAUGUGAUUAACAGUACCGAAUGUAGUUCUACGGAGUGCAAUUGGAUGGCUACAGAAUGACAUUCUUUUCCUCAGUCCUCUCACGUCUGACUGAUCCAACUGGACAGAAUGUCGGGGACACUGGAGCAGACACUAAACCUGACAACCUGACAUGCAGAGAUGAAGUGGACGAUUUUAUGCUGGUGUCACAAAAUGACGAAAACUCGCAAAGAAUGAAUGCUGCUCAGAUGUUACCGCCAUCAUACCAAGAGGUAACACAAGCAGAUAUCGAUUCCGCAGUAAGGCCCAAUUCAGUUUCCUUGGCUACCAGCUUGGAAGAUGUCAAAACAUCCCCAUUGGACGGGGUCCCGUUUUCUCUAUGGUAUGGCCACACAGCUGCUGUGCAGUCGGCCCUACUUGCCCGCUGCACAGAUUCUGCAUUUGGACAGAGGUGCACACCAGAAGACAUCUUGAACAGAUAUAACUACACGUUUGAUACAGAGCGAUCUGUGUUGCGUGAAUUUGGUGACAUGACGAACGAUUUUUAUCUAGGAACUCCUUAUAUGGCUGAUACCGAGAAUGGAGACCCCCACUCUCAAGCCUUCUCCGAUAUGACCUCAGAUUUUGAACACUCCUCACCACCCUCUGCAGUACACAACAGGUCUUUUCCAGAAGUCGGCUGUUUGGUAGAUUUAAGCUGAGUGUGAUAUUUAUAACUAUACUAGAUAUACAUGUAUUUCUAGGUGUGUUGAGAUUUAAAAUUCUUUUUACAUAGGCGAGUAUUUUGUUGUCGUCUACUUAUAUUAGUAGUAUUCUUUUUGUGUGAAGUAGGCCUUCAUGAAUUUGUAUUAAAAUAUCUUGUUUUUUCUUUCUCUUAGGUUACACUUGAACUGUUGUGUGAAUUCAUUCAUUUUUAAUGUGCAUUUUUUUUUUGUUUG